GGAAGCCAAAAGAUGGGACACCCCUGCUCUACUACAUCAAUCUUUUAUUUUCUUCAUUGUUCUUAUCACUGUUUGAAAUUAUCUUAUUCGUUUAUUGUUGUUUACUAAAUGUUUCCCCCUAUUAAAGGUAAGCUGCUAGGAAGUUUAUGUAGUUCACUGCCGCAUAGUCAGAGCCAAGACCAAAUAGAAGGUAGUUAAUACGUAUUUGUUAAGUAAAUGAAUAAAUGGACAAUCUAACAAUACAGAGUAUUGAGUAGCUCCAUGGAAAGCAAAUUUAUGCCCUCAUUUUCCUUCUAUAUAGAAAUAAACCUUUUAGUGACAGUGCCACUAAAAAGAAAGAGAAAAACCCGAAACUUCCAGAACCUUUUGCCUUAUAGUACACAUACAUUCAGAUUUCCACCUUGGUUAAUAGUAAGUAGGCAAAAUUAAAUGUAUUCCUUCUUACCUCGUUCACCAAAAGAGCAAAUAGAAUGUAGCCUGAAGGAGCCUGCUGGGUACUGAAGGCUGAGAUAAUGGCCCUUUUAUAGCAGGCCCCAUGCAGGGAGGAGCCACCCUCUGUGGGAUGGUCUGAUUCAUUCCUAACCAAACCUAGAUCCACCCAUAUCUCCACCUGUAUUUCUCCAGCAACAUGUGUUUACUUCCCAGCUUCCUCACGUACUCAUCUGUACUUGUUUUAUCAAGUUCCAAAUUUAGGUUUACAUAUUGGAAAUUUUAUUGAAGGGUCCCUUUGGCUAAUACAGGUUCUUUGUGUGCAGGGCCCAUACCUACUUUUCUGUAACCCCACUUUGCCUUGACAGGUGCUUGAUAAAUAUCUAUUGAUAAAUACACUUCCUGAUCCUUGUCUCUAGAAGAGCAGGACAUAUUAAUAUGUUUAUAAGAACUUGAAAUUCAAUUUAUGAUAGGAAAACAUCACAAGCAUCUACUUAUGUGUUCUUUUUUAAUCUAUGAAUUCCAUCUUUGGGUACUGAAAGAACUUGCCAUGAGAUGAAUGCUGUCUUCUAGAAAUUAUGGUCAGUAGAGGAUAGGCAGAUUUAAUUUUAAUUUUUCAAAGCAGAGCAAGAAUGUGAACAAUUGAAUUAGAAGUGGUGAUCACUAGGAGCAUGAGUUUAUUAGGCAAGACUCAUUAGUGUAAUUUUACUUUGUUUUCAAGGUUAUUACAUUGUGGCAUCAGAGACAUGUUCCACAUACUCUUCCUUCUUAAACCAUGAAUUUUCUUUUAUUGCCACAAAUAUACAGGGGACUCCUAUCCCUGAUCUGUCUUAUGAUAUACGCACUGUUAUGUUGAGCAGAUUGCAUCUCCAUAUGGAUGUCCCGUGGUUAUCUCAAUCCAUAGUGUUGAAAACUGAACUUACAUUGUGCCUUCUACCAAAAUGUACUAUCCUCCAGAAGCCCAUAUAUUGGUAAUGAUGCCCCCACACACUGGGUGUCUCAAGCUAGACAAAGUCAUUUUCAUUUCUCUUUUUCCUUAACCCCUCAUACUCAUGUCACAUCAUAUCAAUUCUACUCAGGCUUAGAUUUUGUUAUGUAGGCCUAUUCUCUACCUCCAGUGCUAUAAUUUUAGUUCUGGACCUGACCAUCUUUCAGUUGGGUAUUGGUAAAGAAAAAAAGUGUCGUAACUAGCCUCUCUUUCUACUAUUAAGCUGGCUUGCCAUCUUAUGUCAUUUGCUGUGCUGGUUUCUUCUUGCCUGCAGAAUUCCAGACUUCUUUACCUGACAUACAAGCCCCUUUACAAUAGGCAUGAAUCUGUAUCUUUUCAAUUGUCCCUCUUAUUACCUGUAUCUCAUGGAAAAGUCACUCUAGAAUGAGCAAUAUUUCUUGGAUGAGCCCGUAUUGGUCCGCUACUGUUCAAAAUCUUUGUGUGCUAUCCUCCACUACCUUAACUUGAGAGACUGUCAACCAUAACUUCUCUUUAUCUUUUAAGAUUCUUCAAAAUUACCACCUCCUGCAUAAAGCCUUACCUGACAUCUCCAGAUUUAUCAGUGUUCCCUCACAUACUCUGUAUUUACCUCUCAAUAGCACUGGUGAUAUUUUAUAUUAAUUACUUAUUUUUAUGUGUGCCCCCGGCCCCCUGGUGCCUUGAAUCCUGUGUUUCUUCUCACCCUAGCAUUGACUGGGUCUGAGUCAUCCUUUUUGUCCUUGGGCCCUACAGCAAUGCCUGGGACAUGAUCAAAUAAGAGAUGCAAGGGUGUGCCAAUCUUGUUCAGAGUCAAAGAGAUAAAAAUAUGCCCAAGAUUUUAAAACUGUUUAAUGUCCUCAUUCUUAACCUUAUCAGACCGUUGAUUCUUUCUUUUGUGGAGUAUUGGUUAACAUCUAUAGAACACAGAUAUUCAUUUUCUCCUUUUUUCUUCUUGGGUUUAAUUUUUUUAUGCCAGUAGUUAUUGCAUUUUUGUCUCUACCGUGAUGUAAUAAUGAUAGUAAUCUAUAUUGUGUACCCAUUAUGUGAUAGGAAUGUGCUAAGAUUUUGCAUGUAUUAAUUUUAAUCAUCAGGACAAACCUUUGAAGUCAUUGUUAUUCCUCUAUUUUAGAGAUGAGGGAACUGAUACUGAUAAGGCACCCAAGGUCACCAAGCAAGUAAGUUACAGAACUAGGAUUUAAUCUGAGGUUAUUCAGACUCCAACUCCCACAUUAUUUCCACCAUGGCAUAUUGUUCUGGGUGUGAACUUUUAUCCUUUUUUUGUUAGCCUUAUUUAUAUUUUUAAUGUUUUAAACAGUGAUUUCUUUCAAAGUACCUACGUCUGGGUGAACUUAACUGUGGAAAUUAUUGCAGGAUCAGCAGAAAGACUAGACCAUGGACUAUGAGUAAGUGAAGAAGGUAGAGUCGAGAGAGUGUCAAGAAUGAGGCAAUCUUGGAUAUGACCUUCUUUGGGGCCAAAAGACCCCAAAUCUUACCGAAUUAUGUCAAUAUGGAGGGUAGUGUUUAGUGGUCUGCUCUAGGACUUUUUUCCUGACCAUGUUAUGCUCAUUGUAUUUUAUCAAUAACUUAGGUGAAAAUUUGGAUAGAUGGCAAAUAUUUUUAGGAUAGACUGAGGAUUCAAGAAGAUUUUAUCAUGUUGCACCAAUGGCUCAAAUCUGAUAAAUGAAUAUUAUUGAAAAAGUAAAAUUCUGACUCCAGUUCCAAAUUACACUUUACAAGGAUAGGGUAGAAGACAUGAGUAAAAGAAGCAGUAUUGUGACAGUGGCAGAGUGAUGCCAUAGCCAAAAAGGUAAUGUGAUAUUAGGCUGCAUUAAAAGAAACACAUUAGCUGGAACAAAAUAGGUGGUGAUGUACUUUGCUCAGCAUUUAUCAGACUAUUUCUGUAGCUCUUUGUUCAGUUCUGAUGACCAUUUUUCAAUAAGGAUGUGGACAAAUUGGUAUGUGUUCUGAGUAAAAUAGAUAGAAUGAUUGUCUAGGUGAACGGCAAACAGAACUCAGUGGGAUAGAUGGAUGGAUGGAUGGAUGGAUGGAUGGAUGGACGGAUGGAUGGAUGGAUGGGAGAUGCAAUAUCUCUUUGGCUAUAUGAGUGGCUGUUAUAUAGAAGAGGGAUUAUACUUGGACUAUAUAAUCUCAAGGCAGGUAGAACUCAGAUAAAUAUGUAGAAACUAUAAUAAACCAUGUUUUGGCUUUAUAUAAGUAAGGACUUUUUAAUAGAAUUGUCCAAACAUGCCAAUAAUUAUUUUUGGAGAUAGUGAGUUCCCUAUUAUUGCCUAGAGAAUUUUGAACUGGAUGGAAUCUUGGCAUCAGCUAGUUUAAUCUGCUUACAUUGUAGCUGAAGACUAGAAGGACCAAUGUUGUAUGGCUAGUAAAUUAAAAAGUCAAGGCCCAGGCCUCCAACUCAGGGCUUUUCACUCCAAAUCCUCUUUAUGUUGCAUCAGGUUGCAUCAAUUAAAGGGAGAUGAACAUGAGACAGGGAUAAUUUGGACGGGAUUUAGGUAGAGGAACGUUGGGUAGAUGUCUGAUAGAUGCCCUUUUCAACCUGACAGCUACUAUUCUAUGAUUGAAGUAAAUUUCUUUGCUUGACUCAGCUCAGCUCAGUUCAGAUAGUUAUUUGAUCUGUGCAGUUUAAUAACUGCAGGGGUAACAUUAUGCUGCAAACAGGAGGAUAGUUCUUGGGUUUUCAUGCCCCACUUCCUGCCAGUCUGGCUGAUCCCACUUGCAUGCUAGCUUUUUACCCUCAGAAUCUCACAGGAAUUUUCCCCCCUAAGUCUUUAAAAUUCUUGGCUGUUGAAUAGUGAACUCUGUGAUGUGGCAUGUCUUCUGUAUCUCCAGAGAGAUCUUAUUCUCCAUAUCAUUUUUGCCACAUAAUGAAAUGCUUUCAGUGGUGUUUUAGGUGUCUGUGAUCACAUAUUGCGGCUGCCAGCAUUUGCUAAGCAGUGAAGAGAACUCCCCCAAGGCAGGGGUUAUUGACAAAUAAUAAAUUACAGGAUUUCAAUUAUAAUCAUUCAAUUGGUUGUCCCUCCCUUUUCCUACCCAGUAGGCUGGAAAGGCAUUGUGUUGCCAUCUGGCCUCUGGGCUGCUGAUGUGGGUCAGGUUGUCACGAUUCAAGGAUCAGCCCUUUGAGAUGUGUGACUGAGGCUGUAGGAGUGAAGGGGAGUUGGAAUUUGUGGUUAAAUGAUUUCCUACAGGAGCUGUAGUCAUCUUUUGGGAGGUGCUGUUUGGGGUUAGAAUUUUUCCAGGUUGAAUAUUCUCUUGAAUUCCAUGCCAUAGUUGAAGCUGAUAUUCCUGCUUAGUUAGCCAUACAGUGGUGGAGCAGUAUCUGGCUAAAACACUUCCACUUGCAGCUUAUAUUUGCCAGGACAAUGGUGAUGGACAGGAAUCUUGAUCCCAAGCAAACAAAAUGUUCAAAUUACCAUUGAUGCCCUCAGAUGCUGCUUUCUUUAUAGCCAGUCUCUCUCUCUCUCUCUCUCUGUGUGUGUGUGUGUGUAUGUUGUGUGUGUGUGUGUGAUAGAGACAGAAUGACAGAGAGACAGAAAGACAAAGAGAAGGAGGUAAAGGAUGUAGAAGGAAUGAGUGUGAGUGAUAAUAAGGCUUUUCCAGAUAAAAGCAAGCCAUUUUAUGCCAAUAUGGAUUGUCUUUCAGUUUUUCUAUAUGCCCAACAUUUUCAUUCUCAGGUACUCAUUAACAGUUUCUCUGAGGUUUGGAGAAGAGGAAAUCAAGAUGGCUGACAAGGUUGGAAAUUGAGAAUAGAAUUGAAUGAAGCCUAUGGCAGAGGUGUGUGUGUGUGUGUGUGUGUGUGUGUGUGUGUGUGUAGUGGGGGUACAUGUGACACACAUGUUAUUCCAGAAGAUUUUAUCAUGCAGAAGUCACUGGACACACACACACUCACACACACACACACACACACACACACUCAGAAUGUAUGUGAGAGAGAUAGAUACAGAGAAAACAAUGAUCAAAUAGGAGUUUUUUGUAUAGUGAAGAAAUAUUCUCCAGGAAGUGCUUAUAUCAAUAAAGCUAAUUUUCCCAAACUUAUGGUGCUUUAUUAAACCUCUCAGGUACAACUACAGAGAUGGCCAGAGGCAUUCUAAAGUGUGAAGGGAGGGUCAUUUAUGUAGUAACUGUGUUAUAUGAAAGUUUUCUCUAACAAUUAAGGACAAAAGUAAUAACAGAAAAAAUAACAGAUAAAACAACUGAUCAUCCCAUGUAGUUAAGGGAGAAAGCCUUCAUGACUUGACUCUUAAAUGUUUAUAAACAGAGAGAUUGUGAGAUCUUUAGGGUGGCUAUUUCAGCAAUGACUAGUAUCAGCAGUAAAGGAUGGACCAUUCACCAUUUCAUGUUCCGCAGAAACAAACAGUGAGGACUGGUGACAGAGUGAUGCAGCAUCAUGAAACUGGAAAAAAAAAUCCAGGAGCAAGCCAGAACAGAGACGUGAUAGCUAUUCAUGAUCAAGGGUGUCACCAAUAUUUUCUGUUCAGACAUGGUAACAAAGGCUAAUAAUUACAGGAGAAUGUAGAUCAGGAGGGACUGGAACUUGAAAUAAGCUUCUACUCCCCUUUCUCACCUGUUUCCUUUGUAUAUAGGGAUAUUAUAGAUAGAUAGAAUAGACAGACAGACAGGUAGACAGAUAGAUAGACAAGAAUAUAUUCCAGAGGGAAAAUUUCUUCAGGUAACUGAGGGAAAUUCAGACUAAGAGAUAGGUCACAGUAUUUAGGGAUCAUUUAUUCAUUCAAGAAACAUUUCUUGCCAGUGACUACUUGCCAGUCACCAUGCUUGUCACAGAACUGUAAAUGAAGAAGUCAUGCUCCUUGUCUGCCAAGAGUUUAUAAUCUAAUGAAGAAAGCAUACAUAUAAACAGUAUGAUAUGUGUUAUAAUAAAGGUAUUUGUAAAUACCUUUAGGAAUACCUUAGGUAUUAGUAAAUAGCUUUACUUGAGGAAGCAAGCUGUUUUUUUUUUUUUUUAGAGCGGUCAAGGGGAGGUAAUAUUUGAGCUGAACAUUAAAGGACAUUAAAAGCAUUUAUUGGAUUGUAUGGGAAAGGUCAGGGAGAGGCAGGCCUGAAAGGUCAUAUGGAAAGGGCUUGGAAGCCUUGGAAGCCUCUAAGUGAUGUAUAUAUUAUUUACAUUGGGUGGCAACUGAAGGGUUUUUAAGUGGAAAAGUGACAGGAGCAGAUUUUCAUUCAGUAAAUGUAACUACUGGAAGUAUGGAUGGUGGAUUGAGCUGGAUACAGGCAAUUUAUAUAAAAGAAGGAAGAGAUAGUAAAAUCUCAAACUAAGGCAUUGGCAGUGGGAUUGAAGAGAAGAUACAUUUUAGAAGCAGAUCUUGGUGAUGCAUUGGAGGUGGAAUGUGAGAGACGGUGAAGAACAAGAGGGAAUAGGUUAGCGGCCUGGCAAGCAGUCGGUGUUGGGCAAGUUAGGGAGGGCAACCCAAUGAAGUAGAGUCUGACGGGUGGACAGAACUCAAUGAUGCGGAAGGCAGGAAUAGCAGAUUUCAGUGGGCAGUGGGUAAUGGGGAGUUGGUAUCAACAAUAUCAUGUCACUAGGUAGCAGGACCUUAGGGCCCAUAUUUUAGGCCAGGACUUUAAUCUUGGAAGUAGGGAAGACUAAAGAACAAAGAAGAUUUCUAUCAUGACCAGGCAGAGACUUUUAUCAUAACUGAGAAAGAUCAAAAUCAGAUUAGCAGCAUAAUUGAACUGAUGCUAAUUCGUGAGCUUUAGGUAACUUCUAUUCUUAAAUUCUUCCUGCUGAAGAUCAGUACUUAUUCUGGAUGAUGGGGACCCUCACCAAGCUUCCAAUACCUGAAGACCCCUCUAUCUACUCAGCACUAACUUUUUAUCAACUUAGACUUUAUUCUGUCAUUGUAAGUCUCCUGGUUACUCAUUCUUCUUAAUUCACCACCUACACCCUGUAGAUUAGGCAGAUGUUUGAUUGAUAAUCUCCAUGACUGUUGGUAUAGCACAACACCAGACUACACCACACUCCUCUUACCCAGGUGUAGUUAGGGGAGGGCUCAGAAUAGUAUAUGUGGUUUAGCUGUAGGAGCAGAAGGGUUGCAUAAUCUAGUAGUUUGAGAACUAGAUGAGUUCAGAAGGUGAACAUCAGAACCACUCUGGAGUUGUGUUUACAUGUUAUUUACAAUUUCUGCUCAUAACAAAAGUUAAAAAAAUUAUUCAAGACCCUAAACUACCAUAUUUCCAGAAGAAUUACUGAGACCCAAGGCUCCAAAGUCCUUCAAGUGUUUAUUUAUGAGACUAAUGAUGCUCGUUUUUGUUAACCUCAUGGAUUCUCACAUCAGUGGUGACCUUGUUGAGGUAGAGGUGGACUCACACCACCAACAUUUCCACUCAUUUUAUCAGCAUUCCCUAAAGUAUGGCUUCCUCCAUUUCUUAGAGCAUUUGUUUCAAGGGAUUUAUAUUAUUUUAGGAUAUCCAGACAACUUGGAGCCAAGUCCCCACAGCUAGAUCAGACAACUUUUGGUGACAUCUCACAGUGUGGAUUAUCAAGCCAGUGUAUCAGUCUGGAGCCUAGGUUUUUUGCCUUUAGCUUUGCUCAGGAUGACUUCUGCUCUUCUGUGGCAGUACUUGAGAAGGUAAGGUAGUUUUUGUUCUCAUUUUUUGUUUCAUCAUUUUAAUCCAUAUUUCCCAGAAUCUACCUCUUUCUUUACCUCAUUCUAUCAUUUUUCUAAUCAGGCCAUUAGUUACUUACUCUUGCAACGUGUACUCUAACAGCAUUUCAUGUAUAUGCUUAAACUAAUUCAUAGAACAUGAUUACUAUUAAUAUUUGCAUUUCUUUUCACAGUAUGCAUCUAGAAAUCCUCAGCUAUUUUUUGUUUUCUUCAUGAAAUUUUUAAUUCUAGGAACUUUUCAUAUGAGAUAUGAAAAAUGGUUAAAUUCAAAUAACACCAUGUCCAUCAUAUUGGCCCCCUAAUUAGAGCCAAGAUCACAAAAUCCAUGGUAUAGUGUUGAGAGCACAAUCUCACACACCUCACAGACUUGCCUUUGACUACUGGCUCCUCCAGUUGCCAGCUCUAUGACUUUGAGCAAAUUUCUUAACCUUUCUGGGUCUGUUUCCUCAUCUAUAGAGUGAAGAUAAUAAUACCUCAUUUUCAUAGUUCUUCAGUAUAUUAAAUGAAUUAUAUGUCAAUGGUCUGGCACUUUGCCUAGCAUGAUAGCAAGGUAUCCAAUAAAUGGUAAUUAUUAGCUUUAUGUAACUAUGAAGUCUUACAGAAUUGGUAAACUCAGUAUGAGACACUCUUAUUGCAACUGAAUUUUUGCAGGUGUAUUUGUUUCCAUCAAGAGAGAAGAGCAAGAAACAUAUAACUUUUCCUUUUUCUUUUCCAAGAAUUUUUUUAAUUGAGUCCCUCUCCGUGAGAUUAUGGAGGUUUUUAAAUGUCCUUUAGGGUUCAGUGUGAUCAUCUCUAGAAGAUUGGGGAGAAGGUUUUCAUCUGUUUUAGGAAAAGAGUAGCUUUAGGAGAAUAUUGAAUGUUGAGUACAAAUACUACAAAAAAAGUAGCAAAAAUUGCUCUAGUACAUUUAUUGUUUUCCUCCAUUGUAUACAUUCCACUUUUUUUUUUUUUUUCUGGCAACAGUCCCUGAUUUUCAUUUAGGAAUCCAACUAUUGCCCAUUCUUACUCCUUGUGGUCAGGGUGAGGGGAGGAGUUUAUCUUUGACUUAUGAGGGUGAAGAAUGUUGCUUGGAUGUUAGUGGACAGGGAUGGGUGAGCAUGUGACCUGGGAUGUCUAAGGCAGAGUGAAUCUCAGGACUAUUGUGGGAACUACCAGUAAAGACAUAGCAUUCCUCCUCCACCUCUCCCCCCAACCCCUUGGCCCCUGCACCUUGAGAUUUGAACAGGGAAGAAUGUAGUCCAAGCUGCUGCAGCCAUCUCAUGACUACAUGUCAAAACUGGAGUCAACAGAGGGAAAAGCAGAGCUGAGAGAUUGAGAGACUCACCCAAUCUUGAUGAUAUACUUUGAGCCUUGAAGUGAGUACAGCCUGCUUGCCCCAUUUCAAGACUUUUCAGUUACGUGAACCAAUACAUUAUCCCUUUUAUUUAAUAAGCUUUGAGUUGUUCUAUUACUUCAAGCAGAAUUAGAACUGAUAUAAUUGCUAUUUACUUUUUGCUGUGUUCUGCAUUCAUAAUAAAUAUAAAAAACAUGGCAAGAUAACCAGGGGCAUGUUAAUGCAAGGGUGGUAAUAGAAAAAGGGGAGGAAGAGGAAUAACAAGCCCUCCCUUCAGUUCUUUCAUGUCUCCUCCUUUCCUUCGGAUUAAAGAUCAGAUCCCUGAACCAGUAUUAUCACAUUAUACUUUUCUAAGUUUUAUUUUGUUUUUAAUUGACAUCUAAUAAUUGUGCAUGUUUAUAUUUAAGUGAUGUUUCUAUACAUGUUUACAUUAUGUAAUGAUCAAAUCAGGGUAAUUAGCAUAUCAAUCACUUCAAACAUUUGUCAUUUCUUUAUGGUGAGAAUAUUCAAAAUUCUCUCUUCUAUUAAUAGCUAUUUUGAGAUAUAGUAUAUGAUAUUGUUAACUGUGGUUACCCCACUGUGCAGUAGAACAGUCAGAUAAGAGGAAUAUUAUACUUUUAAAAGGAUAAAUUCCUUUGGGGGCAAGAGCAGGGUCCUGGCUAAGUACAUGAGGCCUGCCUGAGGAAUUUCUAUGGAAACAGGAAUGUGUGUCUGUAGCCCUAGCCCUGCUCAGCAUUGGAAACUAUUUGGCAGUCUGAGCAUGGUUCCUCCUGUAAACUAAAAAUAAAUCCUAAAGCCCUCAAGUGACUGAACAGACCCUCCCCACCCCCAUCUUGGCCAAAUGGACCCUGGAUAAAUCUUAAAGACUUAGUUCCCAGCCAUGAUGGCUCAGGAAGUCAGAUAUAUCUUGUUAUAUACCCUCCCUUUUGCAGUGUUUAGACACAACUGGCCAGCAUUGAUGUGAAAAUAGAGAACGUUAAGACUGAUAGAACAGACUGUUUGUGGCACUAAGAUACCAAAUUGUAAACAGGAGGUAAGACCAUGCCAGUCAAGGGUUAAGUCACACACUUCCGCACUUAAAGAAUAAACUAUAUUCUAAAUGCCAUAAGGUUUCUAUUUUUCUUCAGCAGCUAAACAAGCACUGGCCUCCAGGUGAGCAAUAUGAAAACAAUUCGUAGCUCAUUCACUGCCAGACACUGACUCCAUCCUCCUGUUCCACAAACUAUAGCUACAGCUUUGAUUAGACAAGAGGCUAUUUCAAUAACUUUCUCUUGAUAAGAAGACCACCGACCGUGGAUGGAUUCUGGCCAGUUUACGAAGGCUGCAUACGUGAGUGCGUUUGUGUCCUGGAAAGACCUUAUAAAGCCUAAUUAUAAUAUAUUUAAAUGUUAAGUCUCCACCCCAAGGUGAACAUUGCUCAGAUGUAAUAUGUACAUUUAUUCAGUAUGUGUGCAUUAGGAGGACCACGAAUAUUCAUGGCUCCUUCUGUAAUCCAUUGAAUAUGUUUAGUCAACCCAUUCAGCAUAAAGUUCCUACCCCAAUCCCUCCUCUUUCGAAGUACAUGCCUUUGCCAGAGGCCAGGCUUCCCAGCUUGUCAGAAUUUGCCUGUCAACUUUGUGACUGUAACCCCCUAUGAGAAAUAUAGCUCUCCUUUCGAAAUUUAUAAAUUGUGUAAUUUUUAAGUUAACACCCCUCUAGAAAAUGAUUCAAUUUUCCUUGUCUUUCUUUUCCUUUGUCUUCCGAAGCCAGAAAUCCAGAAUCUGUUUGUUCUUAGGUCUCAGCCCUUUUAUUCUCUCCUAUGCUUUCACCAAGGAUGUUCUAUUGUAGCACUCAGUUAUGUGAGCUUGCAAAAUUAACCAUUCAUAGACUUUGGCCCCAGACUUUUUGCUGACUUGAGACCAUCAGCACUCAGGAUAUCAUUUUUUUUUUAAAUCCUAGGUAUAGAGAUAUGAGUUAAUCAUACUCCUUAUUUCAUGGCACAUUGUAAUUAUUGAGCUAUGCAGAUUCUUCUGUGGAAGAGUUGGUUAACUUUCAUCCCCAUUCUUUAUUCCCAGUCCUCUCCCCCUCCCUCACCAGAUAAUUAUUCUAAUGAGUUUACUGUAUAUGUCUUAACUUGUACAGGUGCUUGUAAAGUAUCUAUUGUUACUUUUAUGUUCAUAGAGUUUUACUUUUAUGUAAGUGCUAUUUUUUGUUAGAUCUCAUUCUUUUUUUUUUUUUUUUUUACCUUUUUUUCAUUUAGUAUCCAUGUUGCAGUAUGUAUGUCUAGUCCAUUGCUUCUAAUUGUGCUGUUGUUUUGCAUCUACUCAGUAUACCUCUGCACUUCCCUGGUGAUGAACACUCAAAUUGCUUCUAAUUAAUUCCUCAGCACUAAAAAUAAUGCUGUGAUGAACAUCCUCUUACAUAUGUCCAUUAUUGAUCUCUGGGAGAUAUUUUGGGGGGUCAUAAACACAGAAGUAGAAUUUCUGGGUGGUAGGCUAUGUGUAUACUUGAUAUUGACUAGAUACUGUCAGAUAACUCUCCAGAACAGCUUUACUUUCUUACCAGGAGUACAUGAGAUUUCCUGAACCCACAUCCCAGCCAACACCUAGCAAUAUCUAGUUUCCUAACUUUUUCCAGCUCAUUUCACUGUUAUUUUGAUUUUGAUUUCCCUUAUUCAUGAGUUUGAACAUCUUUAUGUAUAUUUGUAAGCCAUUUUGAUUACCCUGUUCUAUACAUUGCCUGUUCAAAUACUUUACCCAUUUUUCUGUUAAUUUUCUUUUUUACUUUAAGAAGUUCAUUUUAUGUUCUAGAUAUUAGUACAUUGUUAUUUUUAGACACUGCAAAUAAUUUCAGUGUGUCAUCUCUCUGUUAACUUUGUUCAUGGUGUCUUUCACUGAACAGAAAUCUUUAAUUAUAAUGUAAUAAAAGUCAUCACUAUUUUUGUAUUAUGUGUGCAUGUAAAGUUCUAUCUACAAUGUUCAUUCCUGUGCUGAGAUUACUAAGGUAUUUUCCCAUAUUUUCUUUUCUUUACUUUGUUGUUUUAAGCUUCACAUUUAGAUAUUUAUUUCAUUUGCAGUCUACCUUUGUAUGUGACUUUAGGUAAAGAUCCAAUUUUGUUUUUAUCUACAGCAUGAGCCAGGUUUGCAACUCCUUCUAUUAAUCUGCCCUUUUCCCAUUGAUAUAUGGUACGUACUUUACUAUAUAUUAAGUUCCCAUAUAAACAUACUUUAUUUCUAAGCUCCUUAUCAUGUUUCACUGAUCUGUUUGUCAUUGCAAUAAUAUCACAUUGUUAUUAUUACUUGACUGCGUAGUAUGUCUUAAUACUUGGAAGGGCAAGUACCCAUUCUUUGUCUUUUUCUUGAAAUGUUGACUUACCUGUUCGUGGAUCUUUAUUCUUCCAUGAAAACUUGAGGUUAUUGAACUUCUCAAGAAAUUCAACACAAAUAUUUUGAAGUAUCUGUGAUUGUGUUGAAUGUAUGGAUUAAUAUGAACUGACAUGUUUAUAAUAUUAAGUCAUCCCACCCAAGAUAUGGAAUAUCACUCCAUUUAUUCAGGUAAUCUUCUGUGUCAUUUAUUAGAUUUAAAAAAUUUCUCCAUGGAAGUAUUAUAUGUUGUCAUUAUUUUCUAGUUAUUUUACAUUUUUUGUUGCUGUUCUGAAUGAUAUCUUGUUUUUAAAUACAUUUUGUAAUUGGUUAUUGUUGGAGAGAAAAGCGCUUUUAAUUUUUGUAACUUGAUUGUUUCUGAUAAACUUGUGGAAUUAUCUUAUUAGUUGUAAUACUUUGUUGAUUAGGUGCUUUUUUCUAGCUAGAGAGUCAUAUUAUCUUACCUGCAAAUAAUGUCAUUUGUUUUCUUUUUUUUUCUACCAAUGUAUUUAUUUCUCUUUCUUUCCUUAUAGCAUUGGGCAGGGCACCCCACUAUGGUAAACACUAAUAAUGAUAUUGCUCCUGAUUUUGUUUCUGGAGGGAAUGCCUCUAAGAUUUCUUCAUUAAUUAUGAGCUAGAAGGCUGACAAGAGCCAAAUUCAUAAUAGAAAACGGAUCCUAUAUGCCGGAAAUGCUGACCAAAGCUUGGAGAUCUGCCACAUAAAAUAAUUCCAUUUGGGAGUUUUUCAUAAAAAUGCUUGGAUCUCCAUCCCAGUUAGAUCUUCUUUUUCUGUACUCUCUGAUCGUGUUAACACUUUGCCUCCUUCCAGAAGAAUAACCUAAGCUUAAGUCUCGCUCUAUUGUAUGACUUUGAUGACACAUUUCUUCUUGAUCUGACCUCUCUUUGUUUGCCUGAAUGACCUUGCUUUCCCAGUUCCCUGGAGCAGGAAUUAUUCUUUGUCUAUCUGGAUCAUGUUCUUUUGCUCCAAAGUCUCUCUGUCUAUACUUUGUGUGAGUGUAAACAUAUGCGUUCGUUUAUAUUUUACUUUAGUGACUUUUUAAAUUUGAAAGAAUGAAUGCUCCUUAAUUAUAAAAUAGUCAAGCAAUACAGAAAAUUGUAAUAGAAGACAGCAACAAAUCAUCAUGAAUUCCAUCACAUAGAAAUAAUCAAUGUUAACUUCUGGAAAACAUUAUUUCAAAUUUCUUUGUAUGCAGCUGGAUGGAGAGUUAGACGAAAUUUAUUUAACACAAUGGAAUCAUACCAUUUAUGCAAUUUUAAAUAAAAAGUUAACAAUUUUC